rnacentral:rRNA from 1 species
GUCUAUUGUACCCUGUUGCUUCGGCGGGCCCGCCGCUUGUCGGCCGCCGGGGGGGCGCCUCUGCCCCCCGGGCCCGUGCCCGCCGGAGACCCCAACACGAACACUGUCUGAAAGCGUGCAGUCUGAGUUGAUUGAAUGCAAUCAGUUAAAACUUUCAACAAUGGAUCUCUUGGUUCCGGCAUCGAUGAAGAACGCAGCGAAAUGCGAUAACUAAUGUGAAUUGCAGAAUUCAGUGAAUCAUCGAGUCUUUGAACGCACAUUGCGCCCCCUGGUAUUCCGGGGGGCAUGCCUGUCCGAGCGUCAUUGCUGCCCUCAAGCCCGGCUUGUGUGUUGGGUCGCCGUCCCCCUCUCCGGGGGGACGGGCCCGAAAGGCAGCGGCGGCACCGCGUCCGAUCCUCGAGCGUAUGGGGCUUUGUCACAUGCUCUGUAGGAUUGGCCGGCGCCUGCCGACGUUUUCCAACCAUUCUUUCCAGGUUGACCUCGGAUCAGGUAGGGAUACCCGCUGAACUUAAGCAUAUCAAUA